CUUUAAUGGAGAGUUUGAUCCUGGCUCAGGACGAACGCUGGCGGCGUGCCUAAUACAUGCAAGUCGAGCGGGGUUAGUUAGAAGCUUGCUUCUAACUAACCUAGCGGCGGACGGGUGAGUAACACGUAGGCAACCUGCCCACAAGACAGGGAUAACUACCGGAAACGGUAGCUAAUACCCGAUACAUCCUUUU
rnacentral:rRNA from 1 species